rnacentral:rRNA from 1 species
UAACGCGUGAGGAACCUGCCUUGAAGAGGGGGGAAACAGUUGGAAACGACUGCUAAUACCGCAUGAAGCAUAGGGGUCGCAUGAUCUUUAUGCCAAAGAUUUAUCGCUUCAAGAUGGCCUCGCGUCUGAUUAGCUAGUUGGCGGGGUAACGGCCCACCAAGGCGACGAUCAGUAGCCGGACUGAGAGGUUGAACGGCCACAUUGGGACUGAGAUACGGCCCAG